rnacentral:rRNA from 1 species
CCUACGGGGGGCAGCAGUGGGGAAUAUUGGACAAUGGGGGCAACCCUGAUCCAGCCAUGCCGCGUGUGUGAAGAAGGCCCUCGGGUUGUAAAGCACUUUCAGUGAGGAAGAACGCCUGGUGGUUAAUACCCAUCAGGAAAGACAUCACUCACAGAAGAAGCACCGGCUAACUCCGUGCCAGCAGCCGCGGUAAUACGGAGGGUGCGAGCGUUAAUCGGAAUUACUGGGCGUAAAGCGCGCGUAGGUGGCUUGAUAAGCCGGUUGUGAAAGCCCCGGGCUCAACCUGGGAACGGCAUCCGGAACUGUCAAGCUAGAGUGCAGGAGAGGAAGGUAGAAUUCCCGGUGUAGCGGUGAAAUGCGUAGAGAUCGGGAGGAAUACCAGUGGCGAAGGCGGCCUUCUGGACUGACACUGACACUGAGGUGCGAAAUCGUGGGUAGCAAACAGGAUUAGAUACCCCGGUAGUC